CAGUCGCCGCGGUAAUACGCAGGUGGCAAGCGUUGUCCGGAAUUAUUGGGCGUAAAGCGCGCGCAGGCGGCCUAUCCAGUCUGUCUUAAAAGUUCGGGGCUCAACCCCGUGAUGGGAUGGAAACUAGUAGGCUAGAGUAUCGGAGAGGAAAGCGGAAUUCCUAGUGUAGCGGUGAAAUGCGUAGAUAUUAGGAAGAACACCAGUGGCGAAGGCGGCUUUCUGGACGAAAACUGACGCUGAGGCGCGAAAGCUAGGGGAGCGAACGGGAUUAGAGACCCCAGUAGUCCCUGUCUCUUAUACA
rnacentral:rRNA from 1 species